rnacentral:lncRNA from 1 species
UAACCUACUGUACAGCAGUGUGACAUCCAUUUACCCACUUUUUUUUUUAAAUUUGCUUUUUAUACAUGGUCAAAACAACGAAAAAAAAUAUCUAUGCAGUUUACAUUUAACAGAGUUUAGGGGUAAAUGAACUGACAUUUUAUUUGUCACAGACAACGCCAUACUUACAGGAUAACCCAAUCAACACGAUUGAAUGAAUGAAUCCAGUAAAAUAUACUAAAUAAAAUACUACAACACACCCCCUAUUUUUUUGUUUUCGUGACGUGUUCAAUGUUUAUUGCAAAUUUUUAUUCAAACAGGGUAUAAUAUAGUACCUACUAGUGAAAAACAUCAAGUGUAAUAACGAUUUUGUUUUUGUAAUAUAACUUAUAAUACCCGAAAAAUACAAAAUUUCAAUUCUUAUAAAGAAUUGUGGAAAUGAGUUUGGUGAUAAAAAGGGUGACUCGCAAAUUUUAAAAGUGGACUCGCAAAUUCUCGCAAAAAACAUACGAUCGUUUGAUAUACAUUUUGAAGUUACAAGACAACAUGUUGGGCCAACUUCAAGGCCGAAAAUUCGGAUUUGUGACUAAAGGGUCAACUCGCAAAUUUUUAAAGUGAACUCACAAAUUCUCGCAAAUGUCGACGUAUCUUUUGGUAUAAAUUUCGAAACUUUUGAGCGACAUGGGUGGGCUAUGUGAAUUUGGCCCGCCCAUUCCUAUUUUGUUUGCAGCUCAAAAACGGCUAACUCGCAAAUUCUGAAAGUUAAUUCGCAAAUCGUCAGAAUUAACUCGCAAACUGUUGGUGAAGAUUUUGAGCCACUGAGCCAAUGGGUGGGCCAACACGUCAAGUUACUGGAAUAUACGAUGCAUAACGUAGACAUUCAAAAAACAAUUGGAAAUCGUCACAUUGUAUAGUUUAUUUUUACAGGUUUCUCUGAUGGUAUCAGAAAAUAUUUGAAAGAUCAAAAAAGUUUUAUGCAUAAACUAUUCUGUAUAUUGUCGUGGAAGAAGAGCUGUGAAGAUAAACCGAUUACUGCCUUCUGUGAAUCUAAAAUUGAUGAAGAAAACAAAUAUUUAAAGAAAAUGAUUGAAUACUACAGUGAUGUAUUUUAUCUUAUAAAUUACUAUUUUACAGACCCAAUAAUAUUUUUUAAUUUUUAAAAGUGAAUAAUAUAUUAGUAGAGUUACUUUAGAAUAAGAUUCACAAAAAAAUGCACUUAUGAUAGGGGAGAGUAAAAACUUUUUUUUAAAUUUUUGAACUUAUAAUUAUUAUAUCAUUUAUGUUUUAAGAAAAUAUGCCUUUAAGUCCUAAAAGACAUAAUAUAACAUAAUAUGUAUGAUAAACUGUACGAAUUUUCCAUCUGCACAACUAUAUUGUAACACAGUUUUCAUCAUUCUAUUUUUAUCGUAUCAUAACUAUUGCUGUUAUUAUAACUAUUUUAAAUGUAUUUUCUUAUUUAUACACAUGGAUAUAUUAUAAGCACGUAUUAGUAGGUACAUAUAAUAAGUGUUAUACAGAAACCUUUGUAGUUUUGGUAGCUUACUUCAAAUUAAUAAUGGUGUUAUAAAUAUAGAUGUAUAAACUAUUUCAUAUUAUUCUUUAUAA